rnacentral:rRNA from 1 species
AACGAACGCUGGCGGCGCGUCUUAAGCAUGCAAGUCGAGCGGCAAGGGUAGCAAUACUCCUAGAGCGGCGGACUGGUGAGUAACACGUGGGUGAUCUGCCUCUGGGAUGGGGAUAGCCAUUAGAAAUAGUGGAUAAUACCGAAUACGCUUGUUGGGCUAUAGCCUGAUAAGGAAAGGCCUGUAUGGGCCGCCCGGAGAUGAGCCUGCGGCAAAUUAGCUAGUUGGUGAGGUAAUGGCCCACCAAGGCGAUGAUUUGUAGCCGGCCUGAGAGGGUGUACGGCCACAUUGGGACUGAGAUACGGCCCAAACUCCUACGGGAGGCAGCAGCUAAGAAUAUUCCGCAAUGGACGAAAGUCUGACGGAGCGACGCCGCGUGGAUGAUGAAGGCCGAAAGGUUGUAAAAUCCUUUUGUUGGGGAAGAAUAACCAUGGGAGGGAAUGCCCGUGGGAUGACAUGAACCGAUGAAUAAGUCCCGGCUAACUACGUGCCAGCAGCCGCGGUAA